GGAGGGUUAGCGAAGUGGCCAAACGCGGGAGACUGUAAAUCUCUUCCUAACGGUUCGGUGGUUCGAAUCCAUCACCCUCCACCA
rnacentral:tRNA from 2 species